UGCAAGUCGAGCGGUAGAGAGAAGCUUGCUUCUCUUGAGAGCGGCGGACGGGUGAGUAAUGCCUAGGAAUCUGCCUGGUAGUGGGGGAUAACGUUCGGAAACGGACGCUAAUACCGCAUACGUCCUACGGGAGAAAGCAGGGGACCUUCGGGCCUUGCGCUAUCAGAUGAGCCUAGGUCGGAUUAGCUAGUUGGUGGGGUAAUGGCUCACCAAGGCGACGAUCCGUAACUGGUCUGAGAGGAUGAUCAGUCACACUGGAACUGAGACACGGUCCAGACUCCUACGGGAGGCAGCAGUGGGGAAUAUUGGACAAUGGGCGAAAGCCUGAUCCAGCCAUGCCGCGUGUGUGAAGAAGGUCUUCGGAUUGUAAAGCACUUUAAGUUGGGAGGAAGGGCAGUUGCCUAAUACGUAACUGUUUUGACGUUACCGACAGAAUAAGCACCGGCUAACUCUGUGCCAGCCGCC
rnacentral:rRNA from 1 species